rnacentral:lncRNA from 1 species
UCCACUGAGACUGUUCGGUUGAGGUGGUGCCUACCAGCUUCCUUUACUGUGAAGACACUCUUUGUCCACUUCCUGUCCCUAAGUCCAGCCCACACAGUGAGAAGAGAGUGAGCCAGUGCUUUCAUUCCUUUCAGUCUGCUCAUGGCUUGAUCAUUACUCAACUUCGAUCACAGCUGUAAAGAGCUAGACUAGCCCAAAUUCAUCCAGUAAUAAAUGACGAAGCUAAAAAUUUGAAUUUGUAUCUGUCUGUCUCCAAAAGCUGGAAGGCGAAUUUAUGUUACUGUGACCAAAGAAACAGUCUGGGACCUCCCUUGGCUGGGGCCAGGGAGAGGAAGAAAUCAGGAAGGAUCAAGGCCAAGUACUUCAUGAAAUGGACAAGUGAAGAAAAAAUAAGUUGUCUACAUCUCAGCAUUUAAAGGGAUUCAGGUUCACCGGAGCCAGCCUCCCAGCCCCUGUCAUCAGCAGCAAGAACUGGCUACGGCUGCACUUCACCUCAGAUGGCAACCACCGGCAGCGUGGCUUCAGUGCUCAGUACCAAGGAACAAGGAAGCUGAUGUUCAGAGAAGUGAAGUCACGUUCCCAAGGCCACCUGACCUGCUGCCUUUGAGCCAGAGCCACCGUUUUUGCCCGCUAGCAUAAAGCUGUUCUCUGUACACAGCAGGGAGCAUCCCACACUUCUACCUGUUUUCAUUUUACCUAAGACACAGCUGUAUUGCAAACACAAACAAAAUCACUUUAGAGAGCAGUGGUGCUCGUGUGCUCCAAUCUGGGAAGAGAAGUCUAAUGGCAAGAGAUCAGACCAGGAGUGGCAGGUGGAAAUUGCGGAUAAGCACAUUUCAGCUCCAAUAAUGAAGAAUUUCCUAGCCACAAGAGCCACCCACAAAAAAGCAGCAAGUUAAUUCAGAAAAGGGAAGACUGCAACCAGAGAUCUGACAUGCCAGUGAAUGCGUAGGAAUGAGAAGG